GACGAACGCUGGCGGCGUGCUUAACACAUGCAAGUCGAACGAAGUGGCGAACGGGUGAGUAACGCGUAAUCAACCUGCCCUUCAGAGGGGGACAACAGUUGGACACGACUGCUAAUCCCGCAUACUGAAGGAGGGGAUUUCGGUUGAUGAGCUAGUUGGAGGGGUCACGUCCCACGAAGGCGAUGAUCAGGAGCCGGGCUGAGAGGAUGAACGGCCACAUUGGGACGGAGAAACGGCCCAGACUCCUACGGGAGGCAGCAGGGGGGAUGCUUGCGCAAUGGACGAAAGUCUGACGGAGCAACGCCGCGUGAGUGAUGACGGCCUUCGGGUUGUAAAGCUCUGUUAAUCGGGACGCGGUACCGGAAUAGAAAGCCACGGCUAACUACGUGCCAGCAGCCGCGGUAAUAC
rnacentral:rRNA from 1 species